ACCAGGAUGUUGGCUUAGAAGCAGCCACCAUUGAAAGAGUGCGUAAUAGCUCACUGGUCGAGUGACUCUGCGCCGAAAAUGUAACGGGGCUAAACACACCACCGAAGCUAUGGCUAGAUACGUAUGUAUCUGGGGUAGGGGAGCGUUGUAUGUGGGUUGAAGGUGUACCGUAAGGAGCGCUGGACAGCAUACAAGUGAGAAUGCCGGUAUGAGUAACGAAAAGAUCAGUGAGAAUCUGAUCCGCCGAAAGCCCAAGGUUUCCUGAGGAAGGCUCGUCCGCUCAGGGUAAGUCGGGACCUAAGGCGAGGCCGAAAGGCGUAGGCGAUGGACAACAGGUUGAUAUUCCUGUACCACCUCCUCACCAUUUGAGCAAUGGGGGGACGCAGGAGGAUAGGGCAAGCGCGGUAUUGGAUAUCCGCGUCCAAGCAGUUAGGCUGGGAAAUAGGCAAAGCCGCUUCCCGUAAGGCUGAGCUGUGAUGGCGAGCGAAAUAUAGUAGCGAAGUUCCUGAUUCCACACUGCG
rnacentral:rRNA from 1 species